UUGGGUUCUGGGGGAAGUAU
rnacentral:rRNA from 4 species